GCUGACCGGGUGUGCACGUCCGUUUGUCGAGCGGCUCGCUUAGCGUUUCCUUGGAAGUGGAAAUGAAUUUGGAGGCGUUGAUAAUGGAGGUGGAUGAUAAAGCUAAUGCGUGUCAUGCCGGUUCUGUGGCUACUGUUCAGCGGGCAAGCACACACAGUUUAUGAACAAUGAAAAUAUUAAUAAGCCUAUUAAUGAUCUGGUCGAAACACGGAAAUACAUACCGCCGCAUAAGGCGGUGCUGCAUGCACAUAUAUGUCUGCAUAUUAUACCAAAAAUAAUUUAAUGAA